rnacentral:rRNA from 1 species
UGCAAGUCGAACGCUUUGUCUUUAAUUGAUCUGACGAGCUUGCUCUGAUUUGAUUUUAUCUGACAAAGAGUGGCGAACGGGUGAGUAACACGUGGGUAACCUACCUCUUAGCAGGGGAUAACAUUUGGAAACAAGUGCUAAUACCGUAUAAUACCAACAACCGCAUGGUUGUUGGUUGAAAGAUGGUUCUGCUAUCACUAAGAGAUGGACCCGCGGUGCAUUAGCUAGUUGGUAAGGUAACGGCUUACCAAGGCAAUGAUGCAUAGCUGAGUUGAGAGACUGAUCGGCCACAAUGGGACUGAGACACGGCCCAUACUCCUACGGGAGGCAGCAGUAGGGAAUCUUCCACAAUGGGCGCAAGCCUGAUGGAGCAACGCCGCGUGUGUGAUGAAGGGUUUCGGCUCGUAAAACACUGUUAUAAGAGAAGAACGGCACUGAGAGUAACUGUUCAGUGUGUGACGGUAUCUUACCAGAAAGGAACGGCUAAAUAC